CGCGUAGGCGGUUCGAUAAGUCAGAUGUGAAAGCCCGGGGCUUAACCCCGGAAGUGCAUUUGAAACUGUCGAACUUGAGUAUGGGAGAGGGAAGUGGAAUUCCUGGUGUAGAGGUGAAAUUCGUAGAUAUCAGGAGGAACACCGGUGGCGAAGGCGACUUCCUGGACCAAUACUGACGCUGAGGCGCGAAGGCGUGGGUAGCAAACA
rnacentral:rRNA from 1 species